rnacentral:lncRNA from 1 species
GUUGUUACAUAAUAACAUUAUGAGAACGAGUGCCUAUUUAUCGAAACCGUGUCUUAAGAUUGGCCCUAUAUGAUAUUCUUACGACAGCAUUAUUAUUAUAUUAAAGAUAGGACCGACUUACGACAUUUCUUAGCAUGCACAUCGAAUCUAUCUUAGGAUUAUCUUAGCUAGGAUGUCCUAACCGCUGUCCUACGUAUUGGCGUAAAAGAAAAAAGAAAAUGAAACAUUGUAUCAAAUUUAACCGACAACUUUUAUUUAAAAACUUAUUAAUUAUCAGAAAAUAAU